rnacentral:rRNA from 1 species
UAGGGAAUAUUGGACAAUGGGGGAAACCCUGAUCCAGCAACGCCGCGUGGGUGAUGAAGCAUCUUGGUGUGUAAAACCCUGUCAGUGGGGACGAAACGUCGGAAGAGGAAAUGAUUCCGGCCUGACUGUACCCGCAGAGGAAGUUCCGGCCAACUCCGUGCCAGCAGCCGCGGUAAUACGGGGGGAACGAGCGUUGUUCGGAUUUACUGGGCGUAAAGGGCACGCAGGCGGGAAGACAAGUCAGAUGUGAAACCCCGAAGCUUAACUCCGGGCCUGCAUUUGAAACUGUCUUUCUUGAGUACGGGAGAGGAUGAUAGAAUUCUUGGUGUAGCGGUGAAAUGCGUAGAUAUCAAGAGGAAUACCGGUGGCGAAGGCGGUCAUCUGGCCCGAUACUGACGCUCAGGUGCGAAGGCCGGGGGAGCAAACAGG